rnacentral:rRNA from 1 species
AUUGAACGCUGGCGGCAGGCCUAACACAUGCAAGUCGAGCGGUAGCACAGGGAGCUUGCUCCUGGGUGACGAGCGGCGGACGGGUGAGUAAUGUCUGGGAAACUGCCUGAUGGAGGGGGAUAACUACUGGAAACGGUAGCUAAUACCGCAUAACGUCGCAAGACCAAAGAGGGGGACCUUCGGGCCUCUUGCCAUCAGAUGUGCCCAGAUGGGAUUAGCUAGUAGGUGGGGUAACGGCUCACCUAGGCGACGAUCCCUAGCUGGUCUGAGAGGAUGACCAGCCACACUGGAACUGAGACACGGUCCAGACUCCUACGGGAGGCAGCAGUGGGGAAUAUUGCACAAUGGGCGCAAGCCUGAUGCAGCCAUGCCGCGUGUAUGAAGAAGGCCUUCGGGUUGUAAAGUACUUUCAGCGGGGAGGAAGGUGUUGAGGUUAAUAACCUCAGCAAUUGACGUUACCCGCAGAAGAAGCACCGGCUAACUCCGUGCCAGCAGCCGCGGUAA